AAAAGGCGAGUUGUUUUGUAAACAGCAGACGCUAAUGGCCGUUCGAGUUCGACGAAGAAUUGAAGUCCAUAAGACCAUAACUAAGUAAAUAUAGUAAACAUUCUCUUAACAUAAAUCCGGUAAUUAAUAGUCUAAAAGCUUUGGGUGAUUCAUCAUUCAACACCAUUUCAAAACAGGGUGUGGAAGUCAACAGCUCUAAAGUCGAAAGGAAUAAAAAUAUUCCUCUGGUUCCAAGUUUAGAAAGAACAGCAAAUGACAAAAAAUGUGUUGUUUUUAUCUCAGCAAAAAAGAAAUGCACUUUACUCUUCGAGCCAAGUAGGCCUACCUAAUCCUUUACUUUGAGAGAUGGCUUUUUGUGGGCCCCGUACUACUGUAUUACGGUUGAAUUCAAUGACAUGUUAGAUGUUUUUUUUCUGUUCAUCUACUGGGAUUUAGGAAAAAGAAAAUAACACUUUUCUUAUGUAAUUUUUUUUCUUUUUUUUUAAGUUAAAGAAUUCGUAUUGUAUUUGGAACGCGUCAAAAUGUCUAACUCGCUGUGCUUUCUCUCCCGUGUCAAAGUAGAACCUGUUUCCAUGGCAACUACCGAUCCGAGAGAUGCUGUUUCGACCGUGACUUCCGCCAUUUUUACCAUUUGGAAAUUUAAUUCAUUACGCACAACUGAGAAAAAUUACCCUCCCAAAAAAAAAAAAAAAACAUAAAGAAAAAGCCAAGAAAACCAGCACACAUUUCUUCUUGACUUGUCUACUUUGCCAUUAUAUCCAUCCACUCUCUUGCAGUACACUUAACUCUGAUGGUGGAUUCACAUUAAAACAGCUCUAGCGUUCAAUGCUUUCAAAAUGCACUUAACAAACGCGCACCCCUUAUAUAGUUCUUAUGUUUCUUGUUUUGUUUUUUGUCUUCGCCUUUUUUAUUUAUUGUAGUUACUUUGUUUUUCUUCCACCUGCAUGUACAAAUCACUAGUUUUGAUGGAUCAUAUUGAUUAAGUUAUAUUUAUAUUGCAUACAUAUAUAGGUAUAUAUA